UGAACCUAUGGAAACGCUCGUUCAUCGAGCCUCUACCUUUCGGUUCUCUUGGAACAAGACGGAAGAGAGUCACUCUUACCGUCGUGCAUACCUGAAGCGGGUCUGCCGCCUUCGUUUCUCUUUCUUCAGCGAAUGACUAACCUCCCUUUGGCUCUGCCUGUAAGGCGUGCCUUGCCGGUGCAAAUUGCCAGCAGGGUUCGGUUUAGGGCUUGUAGCUCAGUUGGUUAGAGCGCGCGCUUGAUAAGCGUGAGGUCGGAGGUUCAAGUCCUCCCAGGCCCACCACUUCCUCCGCCCGCAUGAUCCCAAAAAGUUGCAGACUUUUUGGAUAAGAUUAUGCGUCUGGGGCAUGAAGGUUAUCAGGGGCCGUAGCUCAGCUGGGAGAGCGCCUGCUUUGCAAGCAGGAUGUCGUCGGUUCGAUCCCGUCCGGCUCCACCAACCAUCUUCUGCGAAGAUGGGGCGUGUCGAGCGGAGACGGUGAGAAAAAAGUCAUUCGAAAAAGAGUUUGCGUCGAGCCUCGUGCUCUGCGCCUGUUCUGUUUGACAUCGUAAAGAGAAGAUUUGUUCGAACUUCAUGAGCCGCAAGGACCAUGAUUUGUCGCAAGGGACGCUCAAUCCCUUGCCUAUGAUGGGUUUGCCUAACCGCGCCCUCGAACGGAUCUCGAGAAGCUGGUCUUUUUGUGCCAAUUCCAACCAGUAAUACCCCGCACAGGGUGUUGCUGGAGCGACGAUCUCUUCGAGAUCGCGCUUAUGCGACGAUCCUUCGGAUCGCGCUUAGCCAAUCCCGCAAGGGAGAGGCUGAAGCGACGAUCCCUGCGGGAUCGCGCGAUGAUGGGUAUUGGCAAUGAGAACGAUCAAGUGUCUUAAGGGCAAUUGGUGGAUGCCU
rnacentral:tRNA from 1 species